CCCCACCGUCCCGUUCCCGUACCACCAUUUACUCUUCCUCGCCUGAGCCGCCCGCGAGUCUCCGUUCCGUUCCGCCGACGCUUCAGUCUCCUCCCCUCCGCCCACCCGCGUCGCCGCCGUCGCCGUCCCCGUUCCUCCUCGCCGCGCCCCUGCCGUCUCCGCCCGCCCGCCCGUCCGCAGUCUCUGGAUUCGAGGGCUCGGCGCUCCCAUGGCGAAUCCCGACGUACAUGUUGAGAGUAUGAUAGGAACCUCGGCGCUCUCAUAAACAGCAAUCCACUGUUGUUAGUUAUGUUUUCCAGUUUCGGCGCUGUUUAUUGUAAAUGCCUCGGCGCCCCCAUGGCGAAUCCCAACGAACAUGCCGAGGGUAUGAUGGGAGAGCAUGCUGAGAAGGAGUAUGCCGAUUUCGAGGCGAGGGUCAAGAGGACGAUAUACAUCGACCACCUCUCCCCUGUGGUCACUCGGCAGGUUAUCCGAGCGGCUCUUUCUCAGUGUGCUCAUGUUGUCAGCGUGGAGUUCGUUGAGAACUACACGAUCCCGUACGACAUCCCUGCCGCCGCGCUGGUGGAAUUGGACGACGAGUCGCAGGCCAGGUCUGCUGUGGACUUGAUGCGAGACUUCCCCUUCAUAAUCGGCGGAAUGCCCAGGCCUGUCCGGGCCAGCUUGGCAAGGCCCGAAAUGUUUCCUGAUCGUCCGAGCCCGCCCGGCUCGAAGAUGGAGUUCCUUUGGCUGAAACAAGGAGAUCCGGAGUAUGAUGGGAUGAGUAAACUGAAGAGCCUUGCAAAGAGGCAGGAAGCAGAGAACAUGGCGCUUAUCAAGGGGUGUCGGUGCCAUGGUGUAGUCUUGUCUGCAGUCUUGUGGGUAGCUUGAGAUAUAUGUCGGUCCUGAUUAUAUUCAAGCAGGAGGGAAGUUUUGAUCCCAGGAAUGGACUCAUUAUCAUGGCGAUUUUAUGGAAUAUUGGCAACACAGCAUUACAAGUGCCAUGUUUCCAACCUGACCCUGGUAUAGUUAAUUCAAGAGCAAUCCAAACAGAAAGUACAGGGAUGGAAAUAAUCAAGAAGGGAGGAGAUGUAGGUGGCGGAUUCAGAAGAGUAGGUGGUACAAUGUUGCACAUUGAUCAGAGUCACUGGAGAUGUCAUGAUCCAGGAAAGGCAGAAACAAGUGAAAAGUUUAACGUAUAAAGCAUGUCAUUUUAUACUCGUGAUCUCCUCAUGAACAAGUCUACUUAUGAUGCGCUCACUGAUUGCGGUUGCAAUUCCAAAAGAGAUCUCCUAAAAUGGACAACAGAUCGAGCUUUGCAGAGAAGAUAACGGACUAUAGCUUCAGCUCCAGAACAACAACUCUUCGUUUGGGGCAUGCAUAAUUGGCUUUAGGGUUGCUGCUUAGUUGCCUUUGUUGUUCAAGUUUGUGAUGGUUUUAACCCAUUUUUCCGAUAAUUAACCGGGAAACCCUCUUCCCCUUCAUUAAUAGAUGAAGCGAAUAUUUUGCCUUGGUUUUAAGGAGACACCUUGUGAUACUGGACACUCAAAGAUGUUCCUUGGCACCAAGCUCCUUUGUCGAGCUGAAGUCUAAAUGCAUCAUAUAUAGCGUAUGUCUUGCAUAUCUUAUUCUAUUCUUCAUGUUUGUCAUUAGUAAUACAACUAUUAUUUCUCA